rnacentral:rRNA from 1 species
CAGUAGCCGCGGUAAAACCAGCACCUCAAGUGGUCAGGAGGUUUAUUGGGCCUAAAGCAUCCGUAGCCGGUUGCAUAAGUUUUCGGUUAAAUCUAUGCGCUUAACGUAUAGGCCGCCGAAAAUACUGUGCAGCUAGGGAGUGGGAGAGGUACACGGUACUCGAUAGGAAGGGGUAAAAUCCUUUGAUCUAUUGAUGACCACCUGUGGCGAAGGCGGUGUACCAGAACACGUUCGACGGUGAGGGAUGAAAGCUGGGGGAGCAAACCGGAUUAGAUACCCCUGUAGUCCCUGUCUCUUAUAC